rnacentral:misc_RNA from 1 species
AAGUCGUAACAAGGUUUCCGUAGGUGAACCUGCGGAAGGAUCAUUAAUGAAUUAAACUUGGUUGGGUUGAUGCUGGUUCCUCGGGACAUGUGCACACCUGCCACCAUUUUAAACCACCUGUGCACCUUCUGUAGGCUAGAAACAAUGCUCGAGGCAACUCGGAUUGAGAGCUGCUGCUUGUGUGUGUAAAAGCCACCAGCUGUUCUUGUGUUUCUUAGUCUAUGUCUUUAUUAUACACCAUUAUGCAUGUCUCUGAAUGUAUUGUUGGGCGUUUAGUCGCUUUAAAAUUAUAUACAACUUUCAACAACGGAUCUCUUGGCUCUC